rnacentral:lncRNA from 1 species
ACACAAUUGUACGUUAGUACACUGAGAACAAUAAAAUACAGGAUCUGCCAGCUGAAAUGGAAGUUAACAGUUUAGCCUCUGGCAAUAUUAUUUUUGAGAAUGCUUUCACUUUCUUAAGUUUAGGUAAAGCUAGUGGUUGAUUUGAACUAAAUAGAAUUCACUCAGUACUUUAGAACGCGUGCUACAGUGAAGAAUGGCUUCAGGAAACAAACUUUGAGAAUCAGAAUUGGAGAAUCAUAUUAUCCACGUCAACUCAGCAGUGAAAUGAUUAGUAAUUGAUUGCGUGUUCUGCACAUUGUCCCUGCAAAAUAACCGCCUUAUUCAAGAAAUUGACUGUGGAGGAAAUAGAAUUGCCUUUCAAGAUUCCUUGCAGCUGUGAUCCAAGGCAGAAAAAAAGAUAUCCCACAGCAGGAAUUCACCCAGCAACCACUGCACCUCAGCAAUGUAGGCGUACAGGAAAGGGACCUGUGCCGUGUUCAUCUCCCUCUUUAAAAUCAGCACAAAAGACAACGAUAUCAAGGGUGCUCAUUUUCCUCUUUAUGAUAUAAAAGAGGUUACAUUGACUCUUCAAGAACAGUGUUGGCAAGGAGAAAUUUUGUUUCCUUCUUUCUUUUCUUUUAACUGUAUCUAUACGGGAAGAUGGAUGUUAGCUGAACCUUUGUGAGUGGCUAGAAGAAUGGACCUUGAAACCAGAUUGCCUGGUUUUGAAUUCCAAUUUGACCACUUAUGAGCUCUGGGAGCCUUUACCACGCAGUC